ACAGACCCAACUACAGACCCAAAACCCGCCCCGUUUGACCCGAAAUCGACUCGGCCAUAUCUUGCGAUUCCGGCCACCCCACUGGUCAAGCUUGGUACCAAUAUGAAGCUUGAAGACCAGCCAUCAUACCCCUACCAUCCAUGUCGCCGAAAAACAGCCAGAACAUCGGCGACCAAAGCUUGAAAACCCGCGACUUUUUCACUUUGCUCCGCCGAGAUUUUCGCCGGUUUUGGGUGACACCACCGGUUAGAUUUUGUUCCCCACGACUCCCUAUUCCAUUUCCGACCAUCCAUAGCCACUGAGAGUCACUGUUUCACCGCCGGUCAAUUGUUGGAGUUUCACGGCUGCCGAGCUAGAUUCCGACGUCGUUGCCGCGCGUGGGAGCUCAUCGCCGGCACUAUUAGACUCAGUGUUAUUGGAACUUUCAUACUUGAGCUUCCCGGCCAGGGUUGACUAAAUUUUGGUCACCGUUGAUUGACGACAGCAAUUCAGUAAUUACACAUUUUGAGGGCGAUUUUGUAAUUUCUGAGAUUGUGGAUAUUUUAGUAAUUCCUGAAAUUGAGGAUUGAGUGUAAUUAUGAUUUCGAGGGUAAUUCAGUGACUUACGAUUUCGAAGUAUUUUAAUGAUUUACGGAUUCGAUGGUAUUUUGGUAAUUCUAUCGAUACGGGAGUUGUAAAUUAUGGAUAGAUGUUUGUUUCGAGUUUAUUGCAUAAAUUUAGUCCUAAUUUUGAUUUGCGGAAAAUAAUUAUGUCGUUUCCUUGAUUUAGGGCGAUCUGCGAGUGAGAACCGGUCCGCGGACGUGGACGAUAACCGAGUCUGAACAUUGUCACUGCGAGUGGAAUAUACAAAACCUAUUUUCAUAGUUAAUUAUGAUAGUAAUGCAUAUUUGCGAAAUAAGUGUUUUAAAUAUUCUGAUUUAAUGAUUUCU
rnacentral:lncRNA from 1 species